rnacentral:rRNA from 1 species
UACGAAGGGGGCUAGCGUUGCUCGGAAUCACUGGGCGUAAAGCGCACGUAGGCGGAUCUCUAAGUCGGGGGUGAAAUCCUGGAGCUCAACUCCAGAACUGCCUUCGAUACUGGGGAUCUUGAGUCCGGGAGAGGUGAGUGGAACUCCGAGUGUAGAGGUGAAAUUCGUAGAUAUUCGGAAGAACACCAGUGGCGAAGGCGGCUCACUGGCCCGGUACUGACGCUGAGGUGCGAAAGCGUGGGGAGCAAACAGG